CACAAACCAGUGAUACAAAUUAGCUAUGUCCCUUUGUUGACUUAGUGGGGGCUCCCUGUGUGCCUGCAUCCUUGUAACACAACAGGUCCCCCAGGGGUGGUGCAGGACUACUGGAGGUAGGCGGGUGGGCUAAAUUUUACUACUCCAGGUCCCAUCGCACCAUAAGGUG